GCCUUCACAGCCUCCAUACCAGUGUUGGCCCUGUGGACCCACCUUAUGUACUCUUAACUUGUCUUUUCUCAUUCCUUUGACUCCUCCGGACUUCGUAGCCCCCACGGCCUGGUGUUGGGUCUGAUCACCCCAACAUUUCUGGCGCCCAACAUGGGGCUAUGAAGACCCCGGUGAAGGAAUGCUAGAGCAUGUGGAAGCAGAAGAUGCAUUGUCAGAGGACACCGAGGAUGACUGAAAGAAGCUCGGCGGAUCACCCUCUCUGGAAGGAAUCAACUGCCUUGUCAUGAGGAUACUCACACAGUCUUACGGAGAAGUCAAAGAACCGAGGUCUCCUGCCAACAGCUGGGUGAGUGAGCCAUCUUGGAUGAAAAUCCUCCAGCCCCAGUCAAGCCUUCAAAUGACUGCAGCCCUGGCUGAAAAAUUAAAUGCAACAUAUGAGAGACCCUAAGGCAGAAUCACCCAGAGACAGGAUCUCACCAUGUAACCCAUGCUGAUCUUCUUGAACUCCAAGGCUCAAGGGAUCCUCCAGACUUUGCCUCCCAAAGUGUUGGAAUUACAUGCAUGAGCCACCGCACUCAGCCCCUCAAGUAAUUUCCAAAAAUUAUGCAGUGCAAAGAGUUUUAUGUAUUAGGUAUACAUUUUUCAUAAUUUACACAGUAUUUUCACAUACAUUAUCUCAUUUGAUCCUAAAUGGACUUUGUUAAGCAGUUAUUAUCCACAUAUUCCAAAUAAGGAAACUGAAGCCCAGAGAAGAACUUGAAAAUCCUGUUCUUCAAGGUGGGAGAAUUGCUUGAGGCCAGUAGUUCAAGACCAGCCUGAGUAACAGAGGGAGUCUCCAUCUCUCCAAAUAAUAAUAAUAAUAAUAAAUGAUAUAGGCGUGGUGGCAUGUGCCUGUGAUCCCAGCUACUCAGGAGGCUGAGGCAGGACAAUCACCUGAGCCCAGGAAGUCAAGACAGCAGUAAGCCAUGACUGGGUCACUGUACUCCAGCCUAGAUGACAGAGCAAGACCUCCUCUCAAUCAAUCAAUCAAUCAAUCAGAACAAUAUGCAUUUGACAUCUAUGGCCCCUGCAUUUUCACGAGAGGAUUACUACCUUCUUUACAGAUGGCUUUAGAUUUGGAGGCUGGCUAAGCAUAAAAUUAAAAGACGUCAUGCUUGGAAUAGCCCUUUUAAGAAACACUUAACUCCUUUACUUAAUAGACAAGUGCACUGAACCACUCAUAAUUUUUUAAAUUAUUUUUAUUUUAAUAAUUAUUUUAUUUAUUAAGACACAAGGUCUCAAUCUAUAGCCCAAGCUGGAGUGCAGUCGCACCAUCCUAGCUCACUGCUGCCUCAAACUGCUUGGCUCAAGCUAUCCUCCCUCUUCAGCCUCCCAAGUAGCUGGGACCGCAGGCACAAGCCAUCGCAACCUGUGCUCUGAAGCUUUAAGAGGCCAAACGAUUCCUCACAUUCAUCCGAUCAGUUACAGGUAGAGCCAAGACCAGAAGCCAGGUAUCCUAUUUUCCUUAUAACACAUUGCCUCUAUAGCUUUAUAUCCAUUUCUAUGAUUUUUGUUACAUACCCAGUUCUGACCAUUUCCUGUCACAAUUUCCUUUGUCUACUAAGUAAAGUUCUAAAUGCAUGGUGACAUAACAUACAAGGCCCUACAUAACCUGGCACAAGAGACCUCUCCAGGUACUCUCCUCCUCUAACAGUGUAGGAAUACUCCUGACUCCUAGGAUGCCAGGCAUUUGUAUAACAUCCUAAUAGAGUUGUGCUGGUGAAGGAAGGCCACAUCCCUCUAUCUUGUGAGAGUGAAGACUUGAGUUUCUCCAUCACCAAGGAAGACUUGGGUGAAGGCACUCAAGUGGGAGGGACAAAAUGACAUCUGAAAACUGGAGGCCUUGGGCAGGGACCUCCCCUUCCUCAAACUAAAGGUGAAUGAACCAAAUUUUGCGAUUCCAGGUAGCUUUUCAUGUCAAAUUUUCAUGUCAAAUUCUUCCGUGCCAUCUCUGACCCUUUAGUAAAAUCCCCUCCAAAUAUUCCAGAAAAACCUUGUGAGUUCAUAUUUGGCAAGGCCAUCCAAAGCAUGUUAGCAACCCAGCAUGAUGGUGUCAGUACUAAUUACAUAAUGAGAGGCCCCAAAGAGAAGAGUAUUAGGCAACAGGAACGAGGGCCACUAAAUCCCAAUCGCUUUUCCCCAGCAAUGAUUCUCCUUCAAUAUGAGGUUAUGGGUUAUGAGGAUAUGAGUUAGUCAAUUAGCUUCCUUAUGCAACUUCAAAUUCCCUGAACAGAUCCAGGAAUUUUGCACAUUCUGUUCCUUGUCCAUAAACUUUGGUUCCCCUCCCCAAACUGUUGUUCUUUCGACAAACUCUAUACAUAAUUCAUAUUCCUGGCUCAGAAAUCAUAAUCUCUAAGUAACCUUUCCUGACACCCUAUUCUCCACCUCCUCUUCCAUAACCUGUGGUCUUUUUGAACAGAGUGGUGACAUUUUGGGCUGGAUGACUGAAAAAGCAAAGUAGAAAAACAGAACAUAGAACAUACAGGGCCUCCAGUUGCUGUGCCUGGCGGUACAUGAAACAUAGUAUUCAAUAACUAUUCUUUGAAUGCACAGUCAUUUUGUUUUUUCCUUUAACAGUAUUUCCUAAUAGGUAACUCAUGAACACUGCAAAAAAUGUCAAACUGCACAAAAAAAUUCAGGGAAAAGUACAUUUUCCCCCCAAUCCCAUUCCCUCCUUUCUCUUAAUACCAGUUAGCUUUCCUUUCAGAUUGAUUAUGCAUAUAUGGGUAUGUAAAUGUUUUCCCACUAUUUGUUACACAUAAAAAUUAUAUACAAUUCAUAUAUUACAUAUGGUGCAUGUUAUAUACACACACAUAAACAGAUCAUCUCGGUUUUGCUUAACCUAAGUCAGGCUUUUUUUUUUUUUUUUUUUUUAGAGCAGCCCUCAGAACCAGGACAGGUUCAGAGACUUUAUUUAUUUUUUAUUUACUAUUAUUAUUUUGAGACGGAGUCCCGCUCUGUCGCCCAGUCUGGAGUGCCGUGGUUCAAUCUCGGCUCACUACAACCUCCACCUCCCAGGUUCAAGUGAUUCUCCUGCCUUAGACUCCGAGUAGCUGGGAUUACAGGCGAGCACCACCACGCCCGGCUAAUGUAUUUUUAGUAGAGACGCGGUUUCGCCAUGUUGGCCAGGCUGGUCUCGAACUCCUGACCUCAGGUGAGAGCAACGUAGUACUCCACUGUGCGUGCAUACCAUGAUUUACUUUGCAGUCCCAGAUUUACGGUUUCCAAUUUAUAAAUACUGCCAUUUUCACCUUCAAGCCCCGAUGCCAAACACAGAAAUACCAGGCCACCCCCACCCCCUCGCCGUGUGCCUCCCACAUUUUCACACACAUUUUCAGGAGCCCAGGGCGCAGCCUCACACCGAACGCCGCCUCUGCCGUCCCCUCACUUGCCCCGUGCCCCCACCGCAGGGCUGAAGGCGACGGAACCGAGCCUUUGUACCCCCACCAGCCCCGUUCCCUGGCGUCUCCCGGCCGCCGGGCUCGCCCGCUCAAACGUGGCGGAACAACCGGAGCCGGGCCCCGCCCUGCU